UUUAUGAGUUUACCGACCUUAGUUACCGUGAUCUUAGCAGAAAACAGCUCGAGGCAAAUUAGUGCACCAAGUUGUUUCCAUUCAUUUAAACUGUACUAUUAACUAUUUGGGUCGCCAACUGUUCAUGGUUCGUAAUAAGGUUAACGUUGGCACUCUAUUGGUGGUUGCCUAGCAACAUAUACAAUUUUUUUAAAAACGCAGCAAACUGCUAAAAUGUCUAAUGGGGCAACAAAAAGGCGGCGGUGCGCCUCGUGUUUUUCCACCUGCAAAACGAGCUCUGCCUGAUCAGGGCCUAAAGGGGCAGAAAAUGUGAUGCCCGAGGAGACAUGCAGACGGUCCCUGGUUCCUUGUGGUUCCUCCAUCAGCUCUGAAUCUGAGUGGGUGGCUGACUAGCUGGUCGACUGGCAUUCCCCCAGAGACACGAGGAAUGACAAAAACUUAGAAAAACAAAGGCACACCAAAACCCCAAUUCAGUUGCACAAUAAAAUCCUAAUUAGCUACUGGCAAUAAUGAUAAUAAAAAUAUAGUCUAGACAUGCUGUAUUGAAUAAAAAGUGGGGAUUUUAUGAGAGCGUAAUGCACAGUUUAAAAAAACCUCCACAAUGUUGUCUGCCAUGCCAGUGACAGCUUGUAUUAUCUUGUUUUAUGAAUAAUAAAAAGCUUUGCCGUUUU